GGCGAUGCAGGCGGGACGGAGGUGGGAAGUGUUAUGAGUCUGCGUGCUCUGUAGGUUUUCUGCCUUGGGCAAGUUAGCGUCUGUUCUGGACGCUGACUCCCGACGCAGACAGACAGGGUAUGGCUGUACUGCCCAGACUGGUCCGGAAUUUCCGGCUGCUGUCCUUCCCGCCUCUCCCUCUGGAGCAGCUGGGACCUCAGGCGCGCUCCAUCAGCUGACGGAAGCUGGGUUUUGGGGGCUGUACACUGCUGCUACGCCAUUAUCUUUGUGGGCAGAUUGACUGACUGAAGCAGAUCCGCUUGGUGGGAGGGGAGCUGAUAAAAAUGACCCCCAGGGUUCUGAAUUCGUUGUCAUUCUACCUAGAUAGUCCCCGCCUGUUGAUUGCACUGUUAUGUACAAAGGGUCCAAGGUCUGGCAGCAGUUCUGUGCGGAGCAGCGCAUCGCUGGGCCUUAUUGCUGCACAGACCCGGAAGUGCCAGUGGCCACCCCUCGAGGAGUCCACUGGAGCGGGGACUGGACCGGAGGGCGAAUUUUUUAAAAUUCUACUUAUUUUUGUGUGUGACGUAUGUGUGACUGCAGCUGGUGCUCUCUGCUUGUGGAUCUGCCAAGAUAUGAGGAGCGGCAUCCUCAGAGUCCUGCCAUCACAGUGUGGCCCCAGUCAUGUGCCUUCCUUGCCAGGAUGGCUAUGCCCUCCCCAACUGGAAGCCUAAACGAGUCCUUCCUCCCUUAAGCUACUUCUGACAGGUUCUGAUUUUUGUGUGACACUCAAGCCUUCAAGUUUAGGUCUGCCUUUAUGGUUUACUUUUGGGGCAUGAAAAGCUGGCUCAUUUAAGCUUCCGGUACUCUCUUUUAAGUUUAUUUUGGAGUGGCCAAAUUGCUUUUGUCUUCAGGAUUUCCUAUAGAGGCCCAAGUCAGGGAUGGUUCUGCCUACAAUGGGCUAGUCCCUCCUCUAUCAAUUGCCAAUCAAGAAAAUGCCUCACAGACAUGGUCAAGGCCAAUCCAUCAGAGGAAAUUCUCCAAUUGAAGUUUUUUUUUUUUUUUAAAGAUAAAGAAAGAUGAAGGAAAGUGAAUAAACCUAAAGGACCCUCAAGCCAACUAGCAUGCUCAUUAUGGAAGUCUUGGGAUGAGGAGUGAGAACGAAAUUACUGAAGAAAUUUAAUGGACAAAAAAAAAAUCCCAGUUUAAGAUAAGAAAUGGACCUUCAAUUUUGAGAAGUUUAAAGGACUCCAACUAGGAUGAGUCAGAAAAGCUUCCAACUGGGACAGACAGUUAUAAUAAUACAUUAUAAUCUGUCCAAAGUCAGAGACAAAGGGAGAAUCUCAAAACAGAAAAACUGUCUUCUCAUGCAUAAGAAAGCUUCCAUGAAGUUCCUGGGAUACAAAGAGGACUGAACUGGGCCUUUCCUGUACUUUCUUAGAUACUGACGGUGUUUGGCUUGGAGACAGGAUCUUGCUAUGAGGCUUAGUCUGACUGCUAACCACUAUGUAGCCCAGGCUGGCCUUGAACUUGAAAACCUCCUGCCUCAGUCACAAAUGUGUGCCACCAUGCUGGACUUUCUAGUGGAUAUUCUGAUUAAAAGUGAAACUAAUACUUUGAUAAUUAAAGAAUUUUAUAUAAAGAAGCAUUAAUAAAGGAAGUUAGAACUCUUAUAAUUGCUUGAAGUAUCUGUAUUUACCCAUAAAUGUUAUUACUUAAUACAAAGUAGUAUUAUUAUAUAAAUAUAUGAAUUUGCAUCUAUUACACAGAUAUUUAUAUUCAAAAAAUAAGGGAGAAAUCACAGCUUGGAGAAGCCAGGAGUUGGGAGCUGUCUCCCAAUGCACAGAGCUGUACUGAGUUACAGGCACAUGAAACAUGAAUACAUGGUCAUAAAUGCCUCCAAGGGAAGCAAGCAGUAUUUAAAUAGACAAAGUAUGGUGAUCCACACAAUGGAAUGUUAAUCAGCAAUUAGAAGAAACAGAUUAAUUCAUCCAGUAUAGGUAAAUCUUAAAUGCAUCAAGA